AGUAACGGCGAGUGAAGCGGUAACAGCUCAAAUUUGAAAUCUGGCUCCUGCGGAGUCCGAGUUGUAAUUUGUAGAAGAUGCUUUGGGAGGGAGGCUCGGCCUAAGUUCCUUGGAACAGGACAUCAGAGAGGGUGAGAAUCCCGUAUGUGGCUGUGGCCUCCGCCCGUGUAAAGCUCUUUCGACGAGUCGAGUUGUUUGGGAAUGCAGCUCAAAAUGGGUGGUAAAUUUCAUCUAAAGCUAAAUAUUGGCCAGAGACCGAUAGCGCACAAGUAGAGUGAUCGAAAGAUGAAAAGCACUUUGGAAAGAGAGUUAAACAGUACGUGAAAUUGUUGAAAGGGAAGCGCUUGCACCCAGACUUGGGCGUCGUCGAUCAUCCGAGGUUCUCCUCGGUGCACUCGGCGAGGCACAGGCCAGCAUCGGUUUGGAUGGUUGGAGAAAGGCUCUAGGAACGUAGCUCUCUUCGGGGAGUGUUAUAGCCUAGGGCGUAAUGCAGCCCAUCGGGACCGAGGACCGCGCCUUCGGGCUAGGAUGCUGGCGUAAUGGUUGCAAGCGACCCGUCUUGAAACACGGACCAAGGAGUCUAACAUCUAUGCGAGUGUUUGGGCGUUAAACCCAUACGCGGAAUGAAAGUGAACGUAGGUGAGAACCCAUCUGGGUGCAUCAUCGACCGAUCCUGAUGUCUUCGGAUGGAUUUGAGUACGAACAUAGCUGUUGGGA
rnacentral:rRNA from 1 species